AUGCUCGCUUCAGCAGCACACAUACUAAAAUUGGAAUAAUACAGAGAAGAUUAGCAUGACCUCUGUGCAAGGAUAACACGCAAAUUCAUGAAGCAUUCCAUGUUUUU